rnacentral:rRNA from 1 species
UACGUAGGGUGCCAGCGUUAAUCGGAAUUACUGGGCGUAAAGCGUGCGCAGGCGGCUUUGCAAGACAGAUGUGAAAUCCCCGGGCUUAACCUGGGAACUGCAUUUGUGACUGCAUGGCUGGAGUGCGGCAGAGGGGGAUGGAAUUCCGCGUGUAGCAGUGAAAUGCGUAGAUAUGCGGAGGAACACCGAUGGCGAAGGCAAUCCCCUGGGCCUGCACUGACGCUCAUGCACGAAAGCGUGGGGAGCAAACAGG